ACUUCCCACCCAACUAAUCACCCUUUCGCCAUCGUGGAAGAAAUUUCUCAUACUGAUUCUGCGUAGAAUUGGGAGGUGGAGUCUGUCCUCUUGGAAUUCGAAUACCUGAACUUGAAUUGUUUGCAUGUUUCCGUUUUUCCUCCGCAGCCAAACCAACUCAAAUUCUUUUGAUUUUGGUUUACUUUUUACCUAAAAUGAGUGAAGGCACCCACUCGGCCCCCCGCAGUGAGGCGAACGCCAGCUCUAACCCUAACAACAAGCGCGAAAGCGAUUCCGAGGAUCAUUCCGAUGGAGGUGGCGUCGUCAAGAAGCCGAAAACCGGCGCUUCUUUCGAGAUCGAAGCGGAUGCGGCGGAGGAUAAGGGAUCUAGGCACACCAUGGAAGAUGCGUGGGUUGUGCUCUUGGACGCCACCGCCGGUUCUCCUGGAAAAUUGAGGUGUGCUCAUUUUGCAAUCUAUGAUGGACAUGGCGGUCGGUUAGCUGCAGAGUACGCUCAAAAGCAUUUACAUGCAAAUGUUCUUUCGGCUGGCUUACCACGUGAGUUGUUAGAUGUAAAAGCAGCCAAACGAGCUAUAUUAGAUGGUUUUAGAAAAACUGAUGAAUCUCUUCUCCAAGAAAGUGCGACAGCGGGUUGGCAGGAUGGUGCUACUGCAGUUUGUGUUUGGGUGGUUGGACAAACGGUUUUUCUUGCCAAUGUUGGGGAUGCAAAAGCAGUGGUAGCACGGUCAUCUACCGUUGAUGGAUUGCAGAAUCAUUCAGAUGGAGGAAGUUCACCGAAGGCCAUUGUUUUGACUAGGGAACACAAAGCCAUCUAUCCACUGGAGCGUGCUCGCAUUCAAAAGGCUGGUGGUACAAUAAGUUCAAAUGGACGACUACAGGGGCGCUUGGAAGUUUCUCGGGCCUUUGGAGAUCGGCAGUUCAAAAAGGUGGGUGUUAUUGCAACUCCAGAUUUUCACUCUUUUGACCUUACAGACAGAGAGCACUUCAUCAUUCUUGGUUGUGAUGGCCUCUGGGGGGUAUUUGGACCAGGUGAUGCUGUUAAUUUUGUUCAUAAAUUAUUGAAGGAGGGCUUACCUGUCACUGCUGUGAGCCGCCGUCUUGUAAAGGAAGCUGUUCGUGAGAGGCAUUGUAAAGACAAUUGCACUGCAAUUGUAAUUGUUUUCAGGCGCAAGUAAUUUCAUAGGCAUCAACAUUGUUCCAGAAGAAAUAUCCUGCUACUGGAUAUUAAUUGCAUUGAGGGAUCUUCUCGUGUGAACCUGACUUAAAUGCUUCUACAGAGUCGCAACAUUUAUUUCAGAAGUACACGACACCAAAGAGACUGCAUGGAGUGGAGAGCCGCCAUCAUGGGGAUAAAGAAAAUUAGAAAGUUAGCAGCAUCUUCUUGGUAAAUUCCCACCGCAGAACUGCAUCAUCUGUUAGAAAAUGAGAUUUUUGAAUUGUUGGGGACCCGAUUCGUGGGUGAAACAGACAUUACCAUGUCACAACCAUAUGAAAGAAUUUUUCCUUUCCUCUCAA